rnacentral:rRNA from 1 species
CCUACGGGAGGCAGCAGUGGGGAAUAUUGGGCAAUGGGCGCAAGCCUGACCCAGCAACGCCGCGUGAAGGAAGAAGGCUUUCGGGUUGUAAACUUCUUUUCUCAGGGACGAAGCAAGUGACGGUACCUGAGGAAUAAGCCACGGCUAACUACGUGCCAGCAGCCGCGGUAAUACGUAGGUGGCAAGCGUUAUCCGGAUUUACUGGGUGUAAAGGGCGUGUAGGCGGGAAAGCAAGUCAGAUGUGAAAACCACGGGCUCAACCUGUGGCCUGCAUUUGAAACUGUUUUUCUUGAGUACUGGGGAGGCAGACGGAAUUCCUAGUGUAGCGGUGACAUGCGUAGAUAUUAGGAGGAACACCAGUGGCGAAGGCGGUCUGCUGGACAGCAACUGACGCUGAGGCGCGAAAGCGUGGGGAGCAAACAGGAUUAGAUACCCGUGUAGUC